CGUAGCAUUGGUCGGCCUUCACCGCCUGGCCGAAGACGUGACGGAACUUACUGGUCCUCACAACCUUCCUGGACAUGGUGAACUGGGAAGAAGAUGCAGGUGCUUUAAGGUGCACUGAAAGCUGUGUGAGAUGCUGCUGCAGGCCUACCUGGGGAGCUUCAGGGUCGAAGGCAGCCGGAGGAGAUUCAGGAGUUCACCCAACACCCUGCCAACCAGAGUGACGGCUCACAGGAGACGGCGGCUUAAUGUACAUCACAAAGUGACAUGAAGGAAGUGAAAAUUUCAAAUGAAGGUGGAAGUGGGAGGUGUCUUCUGCAACUUUGUGCUCUUGAAAAACGGCAGAGGGACGCGAAAUGAGAAAUACGGAUGUUUUAGAUUAGAAAGGGAUUUGAAAAAUGCAGACUGAUUCUGCGGAUACAAACCAACGGUUUUCAGGAGCAAACCAGCUCUGAACUCAGAGAGCAGGAA